rnacentral:rRNA from 1 species
CCUACGGGUGGCAGCAGUGAGGAAUAUUGCACAAUGGGGGAAACCCUGAUGCAGCAACGCCGCGUGAGUGAAGAAGUAUUUCGGUAUGUAAAGCUCUAUCAGCAGGGAAGAAGAAAGACGGUACCUGACUAAGAAGCCCCGGCUAACUACGUGCCAGCAGCCGCGGUAAUACGUAGGGGGCAAGCGUUAACCGGAUUUACUGGGUGUAAAGGGAGCGUAGAGGGUUGUGAAAGGCUGAAGUGAAAGCCCGUGGCUCAACCGCGGAACUGCUUUGGAAACUGGAUAGCUUGAGUACAGGAGAGGCAGGCGGAAUUCCUAGUGUAGCGGUGAAAUGCGUAGAUAUUAGGAGGAACACCAGUGGCGAAGGCGGCCCUCUGGACUGUAACUGACGUUGAGGCUCGAAAGCGUGGGGAGCAAACAGGAUUAGAUACCCGUGUAGUC